CCUACGGGAGGCAGCAGUGAGGAAUAUUGGUCAAUGGACGAGAGUCUGAACCAGCCAAGUAGCGUGAAGGAUGACUGCCCUAUGGGUUGUAAACUUCUUUUAUAUGGGAAUAAAACGUUCCACGUGUGGGAUUUUGUAUGUACCAUAUGAAUAAGGAUCGGCUAACUCCGUGCCAGCAGCCGCGGUAAUACGGAGGAUCCGAUCGUUAUCCGGAUUUAUUGGGUUUAAGGGGAGCGUAGGUGGAUUGUUAAGUCAGUUGUGAAAGUUUGCGGCUCAACCGUAAAAUUGCAGUUGAAACUGGCAGUCUUGAGUACAGUAGAGGUGGGCGGAAUUCGUGGUGUAGCGGUGAAAUGCUUAGAUAUCACGAAGAACUCUGAUUGCGAAGGCAGUUCACUGGACUGCAACUGACACUGAGGCUCGAAAGUGUGGGUAUCAAACAGGAUUAGAUACCCCUGUAGUC
rnacentral:rRNA from 1 species